GACGAACGCUGGCGGCGUGCCUAAUACAUGCAAGUCGAGCGGACUGAUUAAGAGCUUGCUCUUAUGACGUUAGCGGCGGACGGGUGGGUAACACGUGGGCAACCUGCCCUGUAGAUCGGGAUAACACCGAGAAAUCGGUGCUAAUACCGGGUAAUAUCUGAGAUCACAUGAUCUUAGGUUAAAAGAUGGCUCCGGCUAUCACUACAGGAUGGGCCCGCGGCGCAUUAGCUAGUUGGUAAGGUAAUGGCUUACCAAGGCGACGAUGCGUAGCCGACCUGAGAGGGUGAUCGGCCACACUGGGACUGAGACACGGCCCAGACUCCUACGGGAGGCAGCAGUAGGGAAUCUUCCGCAAUGGACGAAAGUCUGACGGAGCAACGCCGCGUGAGUGAUGAAGGGUUUCGGCUCGUAAAGCUCUGUUGUUAGGGAAGAAACAGUACCGAACGAACUAGGUCGGUACCUUGACGGUACCUAACCAGAAAGCCACGGCUAACUACGUG
rnacentral:rRNA from 1 species